GAUGAAGAACGCAGCAAAAUGCGAUAAGUAAUGUGAAUUGCAGAAUUCAGUGAAUCAUCGAAUCUUUGAACGCACAUUGCGCCCGCCAGUAUUCUGGCGGGCAUGCCUGUUCGAGCGUCAUUUCAACCCUCAAGCACAGCUUGGUGUUGGGACUCGCGUUAAUUCGCGUUCCCCAAAUUGAUUGGCGGUCACGUCGAGCUUCCAUAGCGUAGUAGUAAAACCCUCGUUACUGGUAAUCGUCGCGGCCACGCCGUUAAACCCCAACUUCUGAAUGUUGACCUCGGAUCAGGUAGGAAUACCCGCUGAACUUAAGCAUAUCAAUAAGCGGAGGGA
rnacentral:misc_RNA from 1 species